AAUCAACGCUGGCGGCGUGCCUCAGACAUGCAAGUCGAACGAUUAAAGCUCUCUUCGGAGAGUGUAUAGAGUGGCGCACGGGCGAGUAACACGUAAGUAAUCUACCUUUGAGUGGGGAAUAACGUCCGGAACGGACGCUAAUACCGCAUAAUGCAGCGGCAUCGCAAGAUGACAGUUGUUAAAGAUUUAUCGCUUGAAGAGGAGCUUGCGGCAGAUUAGCUAGUUGGUAAGGUAAUGGCUUACCAAGGCUACGAUCUGUAACCGGUCUAAGAGGACGGUCGGUCACACUGACACUGAAUAACGGGUCAGACUCCUACGGGAGGCAGCAGUCGGG
rnacentral:rRNA from 1 species